rnacentral:rRNA from 1 species
CCCUUAGAUGUUCUGGGCCGCACGCGCGCUACACUGAUGCAUUCAACGAGCCUAGCCUUGACCGAGAGGUCCGGGUAAUCUUUGAAACUGCAUCGUGAUGGGGCUAGAUUAUUGCAAUUAUUAAUCUUCAACGAGGAAUGCCUAGUAAGCGUGAUUCAUCAAAUCGCGUUGAUUACGUCCCUGCCCUUUGUACACACCGCCCGUCGCUCCUACCGAUUGAGUGUGUUGGUGAGGAGUUUGGAUUGGCCUCGGAAGGUGGUUCGCCACCGUCCGUAGCUGAGAAGUUCUCCAAACCGCCCCACUUAGAGGAGGGAGAAGUCGUAACA